GUCAAGCACCGGUCUGUGACAGGAGGGCGGAGUUGGGGAAGGUAAGUGGCAGAAUCGCUUCACCUGAGUGUCAUUAACCUGUGUUUUGUGUGUUCUCCCCAGUAAACCGCCCUAUUUAAGGAGGGAGAGCGAGAGCAGAGGGAGAACCGGACGAGACGCUGUGUGUGUCUCUCGCGCCAGUGAAAACUUGAUUGCAACUCUGAAAAGUGUGGCAAUAAAGCCGGUUUACAAACCUGAUCUCUGUCCUGCCGUCCUCUGUGCUCCACCCCCACACGCGAUUCACGCAACACAUACCUAAUGCUACAUAUCACAGACUCUUGAUGUGAGUUUCCUUCGCCACCUCCAGAGUUACUUGUCCGGAAAUGUAGUCUCCAUUCGUAAAGGUUGAACAGUUGGUGUUCUGGUGCAGUCAGAAUAACUUGGAGCUAAACACCCUCAAGACAGUGGAGAUGAUGGUGGACUUCAGGAGACAGCCCUCUGCAAUGCUCCCCUUCACUAUAUCCAACAGUCCUGUGCCAACUCAUAAGACUUGAAGUGGAAACCUAACAUCAACUCUAUCCUCAAAAAAAGUCCAGCAGAGGAUGUACUGUACUUUCUGCAGCAACUCAGAAACGUUGGUCUGUCACAGUUCUACACCGCAGUCAGUGAAUCCAUCCAGUGCACAUUAUCACAGUCUUGUUUAUAACAGCCACACAGCAGGAAAGGAACAGCGAACAGUCAGGACAGCAGAAAGAAUCAUUGAGCCUCCCCGCCCAGCCUCCAGGAUUUGUACAGCUCAUGAACCAGGAAGUGGGUGGAGAAAACACCCUCCUCACACAGUCGAUACAACUUCAUCCAACUCCUCCCCUCCAGCAGACACUGUAGAGCAUUACACACCAGAGCUACCAGACAUAGGAGCAGCUUUUCCCCCCAUAUCAUCACCCUCAUAAACAGCUGAUCUAAUCCAUCUUGUGGGUGGUCCAGUGGUUAGCUCUGUCGCCUCACAGCAAGAAGGUUCCAGGUUUGAACCUCACAGUUGACGGGGGCCUUCCUGUGUGGAGUUUGCAUGUUCUCCCUGUGUGUGUGUGUGUGUAGGUUUCUUCCACCAGAAGUAGUUAGGUUAACUGGCUACUCUAAAACGUCCCGAUGAUGUGCGAAUGUGUGUGUGAAUGGUUGAGAGGAGAAAACCUCUAUAACGGGAAACCACUACUGUAAUUUUUCCCUAGAAACUUUGAUGGCUGGAGCUGUCCGAGCGGCCAUGUCACUGCAGUGAUAUGCCAAAGAGACAGAGAAUCCAUCUUGCCAUAUACUAUUGUGCCUCCUGUGUUAUAUACUCUUGUUUGUACUACCACACUGCACUCUAUAUACAUUGACUAUCUAUCUUAUAUAUAUAUAUAUAUAUAUAUAUAUAUAUAUAUAUAGGAUAUUAGUGGCGCAAAGAUAUGAAGGUUACCUUCAAGUGUUGAACAUACGUAUUUCACAAGUGAGCACAGCGAACGAGAAGAAAAUCGAACGCCAUGUUUUUCCUGGCACUCUUUAUAUCUGGCUGCAGAAUGAAAAUAAAUACUGUUUUGUGCCAACUCCGUAGCUUCAUUUUUGAUCAGAAACACAAAGGCAAACCUUAUCUGUUUAAAUUAUGUUUUAUAUUUUAAGGUUAAGUGCGUUCCAUGGGCUACCACCAGGGUUACAAGCAAUAAAGAGCAAUUAAAAUUAUAGAAAUGAACAAUGGCAGCACAAAUAUAAAAGCAUCUACAGCAUUUCUUUCAUCUAAAUAACCUAUUGAAUGCAAUAUAAAUCGACAAUAGAACAAUAUAAUCUUAAAAAAUGUGAGCUGUCAAUCUACUUAUUUAUCCAUUUGUUCGUCUAUGUCUUCUACCCAUCUACCGACCACUUUAAUAGGCACUUGUUCUUGAUUCCUGUUCUUGGCUGCAGGAAUGGAACCCAAUGUGUUCUUCUGCUGUUGGAUGCUGAGAUGCUUUUCUGCUCACCACGCUUGUAAAGAGUGAUUGAGUUACUGUAUCCUUCCUGGCAGCUCGAACCAAUCUAGCCAUUUUCCUCUGACCUCUCUUAUCAAUGAGGUGUUUCCAGCCACAGAACUGUUGCUCACUCAAUGUUGUUGUGUUUUUUUUUCGUACCAUUCCAUGUAAACUCUAGAGACUGCUGUGUGUGGAAAACCCCAGGAGAUCAGCAGUUUCUGAAAUACUCAAACCAGUCCAUCUGGUUCAAACCAACACCCAUGCCACAGUGACUUACGUACUUACUUACUUAGAAACUUUAAUGUCCUUAAAAAGGCAAUUUGUCUUACAGCACAACACAAGACGAGACACCAGCCACCAUCAUAUCAAACAUCCCAACACAAACACACAACAAAAACACACCACGUCCAUUGCGCCAACUAAAAAAAAAAAAAAGCCAAAGAAAUCACAAUUUUUCCCAUUCUGAUGUUUGAAGUGAACAUUAACUGAAGAUUUGUAUCUGCAUGAUUUUAUGCAUUGUGCCACUGCCAGUGGAUUGGCUAAUUAGAUAACUGCAUAAAACAGCAGGUGUAUGGGUGUGCCUAAUAAAGUAGCCGGUGACUGUAUCUAUUUAGCUCAGCAGAAAUCUAUUUAUGAUUUCUUUUUAAAAAAAAAGCAAGACGGUCAGGGACCCCUAGGAUAUAUACAUCACAGACCCCUGGGGGGCCCUGGACCCCACUACUUUAGGAGAUGGAAGAUUAGAACAUUUAGAGUCUAGAUCUAAACUUUUUCUUCUUCAUGAAAAUGAAUUCACAUGCAUGCUAGAAAUACAAUAUAGAGAUAGCUUGUGAAAUAAGUACAGAUGAAUAUGGCAUCUCAGACACACAUUUUCAUAUGUGGUCAGUAAGCCAAUAGUACUCAACAUGAAGAAUUUUCUUAUUAUGUAGAAUAAAUGCAAUAACAUAUUUAAAGACAAAUGUAACUUGGAAAUAAGGAGCAGGAUUUUGAAAUCAGGGGUGGCACGGUGGUGUAAUGGUUAGCACUGUCACCUCACAGCAAGAAGGUCCUGGGUUCGAGCCCCGUGGCCGGCGAGGGCCUUUCUGUGCGGAGUUUGCUUGUUCUCCCCGUGUCUGUGUGGGUUUCCUCCGGGUGCUCCGGUUUCCCCCACAGUCCAAAGACAUGCAGGUUAGGUGGCUCUAAAUUGCCCGUGAGUGUGAAUGGUUGUUUGUCUCUAUCAGUGCGUUUACAUGCACAUAGAGAGAAUCGAAUUUCUGCCGUUGCUCGACUGAAAUCGAAGUUCAAAAUGCCAUGUAUACACCUUAAUUCGGCUGAAAUUGAACCGAACUUGAUUUCUCGGAAUCAAGCUACACGACCUAGAUUAUGCGAUUUCUGCCGAGCUACUUAGUGCAUGUAUACCCUAUUGAGCUACGUAUUCAAGCUACUUACUUCAGCACUGCCCCUUCCGGAAGUGAUGAGUGACGAGACCACAAGCGGGAAACACAACAGCCUCGGUUGGCAUGACAACGAAUCAUGACAACGGCAUGAAUCUUUUCUUUUUGUGGCAUUGUUUGCACUGUUAAAAUUUAGCUCACUUACUGUAUCACCAAAUACAUCUGUACAGCUGUUGCAUAGCUGUGAAUUGUGUACAUAAACAAGUCACUGUAUUUGUGUGUGUGUGUAUAUACAGUGGCGCUUGAAAGUUUGUGAACCCUUCAGAAUUUUCUAUAUU